GACGAACGCUGGCGGCGUGCUUAACACAUGCAAGUCGAGCGGUAAGGCCCUUUCGGGGGUACACGAGCGGCGAACGGGUGAGUAACACGUGGGUGACCUGCCCUUAGCUCUGGGAUAAGCCUGGGAAACUGGGUCUAAUACCGGAUAUGACUCCAUAACGCAUGUUGUGGGGUGGAAAGCCUUGUGCGGCUAGGGAUGGGCCCGCGGCCUAUCAGCUUGUUGGUGGGGUGAUGGCCACCAAGGCGACGACGGGUAGCCGGCCUGAGAGGGCGACCGGCCACACUGGGACUGAGACACGGCCCAGACUCCUACGGGAGGCAGCAGUGGGGAAUCUUGCGCAAUGGGCGAAAGCCUGACGCAGCGACG
rnacentral:rRNA from 1 species